rnacentral:rRNA from 1 species
GACGAACCGUGCGAACGUUGUUCGGAAUCACUGGGCUUAAAGGGCGCGUAGGCGGGCAGUCAAGUCAGGGGUGAAAUCCCGCGGCUCAACCGCGGAAGUGCCUUUGAUACUGGCUGUCUGGAGGGAGGUAGGGGCGUGCGGAACUUCCGGUGGAGCGGUGAAAUGCGUAGAUAUCGGAAGGAACGCCGGUGGCGAAGGCGGCAUCCUGGACCGAGAUUGACGCUGAGGCGCGAAAGCCAGGGGAGCAAACGGG